UACGGGGGAGCAAGCGUUGUUCGGAUUUACUGGGCGUAAAGGGCGCGUAGGCGGUCAGCACAAGUCAGUUGUGAAAUCUCCGAGCUUAACUCGGAAAGGUCAACUGAUACUGUGCGACUAGAGUGGCGGAAGGGGCAACUGGAAUUGCUUGGUGUAGCGGUGAAAUGCGUAGAAUAUCGAAGAGGAACACCUGCGGCGAAGGCGGGUUGCUGGGCCGACACUGACGCUGAGGCGCGAAAGCUAGGGGAGCGAACGGG
rnacentral:rRNA from 1 species